rnacentral:rRNA from 1 species
AUGAACGCUAGCGACAGGCCUAACACAUGCAAGUCGAGGGGCAGCACAAGGAGCAAUCUGAGGUGGCGACCGGCGCACGGGUGGGUAACACGUAUGCAACCUGCCUGUAAGCGGGGAAUAACCCGUUGAAAGACGGACUAAUACCGCAUAAUACUAAAUUACUGCAUGGUAAUUUAUUUAAACAUUUAUGGCUUACAGAUGGGCAUGCGCAUGAUUAGCUAGUUGGAGAGGUAACGGCUCCCCAAGGCAACGAUCAUUAGGGGUUCUGAGAGGAAGGUCCCCCACACUGGUACUGAGACACGGACCAGACUCCUACGGGAGGCAGCAGUGAGGAAUAUUGGUCAAUGGACGAGAGUCUGAACCAGCCAAGUCGCGUGCAGGAAGAAUGUUCCCUAUGGAUUGUAAACUGCUUUUGCAGGGGAAUAAAGUGCAUCACGUGUGAUGUUUUGUAUGUACUCUGCGAAUAAGGAUCGGCUAACUCCGUGCCAGCCGCCGC